rnacentral:rRNA from 1 species
UACGGGGGGAGCAAGCGUUGUUCGGAUUUACUGGGCGUAAAGGGCGCGUAGGCGGUCAGCACAAGUCAGUUGUGAAAUCUCCGGGCUUAACUCGGAAAGGUCAACUGAUACUGUGCGACUAGAGUGCGGAAGGGGCAACUGGAAUUCUCGGUGUAGCGGUGAAAUGCGUAGAUAUCGAGAGGAACACCUGCGGCGAAGGCGGGUUGCUGGGCCGACACUGACGCUGAGGCGCGAAGGCGUGGGGAGCAAACAGG